UUCUACAAUGAACAAUGCAGAAGAUGGACCAAGUACGUGACCUAAUACAAUUGAAAGGAAGAAUAGAAAAAAUAAGAGCACCUAAUACAAUUGAAAGGAAGAAUAGAAAAAAUAAGAUCCACUGAAGAAGCUCAAAAUAUCUCGUGAAGUGGAUAUGUUCUUUUCUAAAUAUCUGGAAGCCUAUCUUCCAAGAAUAGUAAAUUCUCUUAUUCAUCUAGUUAUUUUAUCGUUUUAUAUUCAAUAAUUUAUGAGCACUUUUGUUAGUCUAGACCUCUACCUACAAAAAUAAUUGUAGACAUUUUCUAAUAUGUGAGCAAAUUUCUGCACUAGUUUUAGAUGUAAACAUUUUUCCUUCAUAUUCUAUUAUGUAAUCCAAACAUUUUUUUGGAUCAACCAAAGGUAGUUGAGAUGAAAAACUUUGUAGUUCACAUAAUUUUAGACUAAAAAGAAGUCAUAUGGAUACCAACCUAAUUCAGUUUACAGCUCAACGUUCAUAGCCUAUAAAAGGAAGUUUAACUUUUUUUUGGCUAGCAUUUUUAACUAUGAGGACCAGAAAGCUUUUCCUUAACAAUUUUUUUGGAAUGCAUUUAUACUUUAUCCCUGUAGUAUUGCAUAUGUAUUUUAUAAAUUGUUAAACUAUCUUUUUAAGAACCAUUUUCUCCAUAUAACAAUAGUUAUGCUUCUUUAUUCAGUCCAGCACUCUUUUUGUCGACAUAGAGGGUUUUACUAUAAGCUAUGAUAAUUACUUAUGUUCAUUUAAAGCAAGGGGUCAGAUUGGAGAUGAAGUGAUGAACUCGUUUAUUCAAGUUCUUAACUAUGAAUCAAAGAUGUCAUCUGAAGUAAAGCCUUAUAUCAAGAAGUACUGUUUCACUUCGUACUUCACUUUGAGUUUUUGUUCUAAUUCAUUGAUUUUUUAUUUUUUGUUUUCCUUAAAUUCAUUGAUUUUUACUAAUUUAUGUUUCGUUAGUCACAGAAUAAAUUGUUGGUUACCCCUGAGUCAUUUGAUCAAGUAACGCGCAUACAAGAAUUUGACAGGAUUAAUUCAGAAGAAAGCCUCUGGAAACGAGACUUCGUAAUUUUUUUUCGAGUGAUACUAUGUUAAGCAAGACCUUUUAUGUUUGUUUUGUUUUAUAUUUCAUUCUAAUUUUUUUUGUUACACAUUAUUCUUCCCUACUAUAAAAUCAAGCCAUUGGGUUAUACUUUCCAUCAACUCUCUCUUUAAGAUAUCUCACGUUUUUUAUCCCUGUGGCACUAUCCUGGGAACUACCCAAAAAGAACUUGUUUACAACUUGGUAAGUAACUAUUGAGACAUAAUAUCCUUUGAUUU
rnacentral:lncRNA from 1 species